UGUCUUUUUAGAGGAGGCAGACUUCAAAAAAGUCGAUUAUUGGGCGUGUUAACUUGAAAUUUCACUAAUAUCUUUACUACACAAUAGCAUCCCUUCCUAUUGUUCUUUAAAAUGACUUUGAAAAAGCCUUGAAGGUAAUAAACAUUUCUCCACAGGCUCCCGCUCCGACAGAAGAAAAGGCUCCGCCAAUGGGUGAAAAACAUUAACCGCAAGAUGUGGGUACCAAAUGUGUGCAGCAGAUUGUGUGCCAGGAAUUUCACAGAGGACUGCUUCACCAUCAUACGCAGACUCAAACCAAAUGCGGUCCCCACACUUUUCGGCAAGCCCGGAGCACCAUCUAAGGUAAGGGGAGAGAUCCCAGUCCAUCAUGCUCUACUUGCCUGCCGUGCCACCAUCAUGCCUCAUGCAUCACCUCUCAGCGCCCUGCCCAGCUGCAUCUUAUUCCGUUACUCCAGCUCUUUCCAGCUCUUUCACAAAAGUCACAAACACGCUCAACCCAAGUGUUUUUAAUCUUUGAUUAAUUAUACAUGUAUGGUGAUUAAGUGGCCUGAAAGGUGCCCAUCAAUAAAAUGCAUUUUAUUAGUAUUAUUAUUAAUAACAUUAUGGCUCCAUCAAAAGGAAUAAACACCUGCCAUUUACAGUUAUCAUUUAUACUAUCCUAGACAUCUUUAAUCUUAUUUACAUAGGCCUACAGUAGGCCUGAUUUCCUCUAAAUGUUGAAAAAAAUUUUUUUCCACAAUUGUAUUUCUGUCAUCAGAUCCCUGUCAAUCAUACUGUUGUGUGUGAAAGACGGACACGCACACGUGUUGCUUCAGAACGUACACUCCAUUUCUUUACUUCAGUUUCAUCUGUCGAUCAACACCCGCGCAUUACACGUCACGUCGCAUCCCAUAAUAAUCAGUCUCUUAAAGGAACCGUAACCACUAUUUAGUAACAUACAGCAAACCCAUGUUUCACAGUGUGACCAUGUUAUUAGAACAUAACAUUUUCCUCCCCCCACGAAAAGCAAACAGCAUACCACCCCAACUAACAACCAACCCAAACAUUCGUCAAGAAAACUGAACAUCUAAUCAAGAUAUCAAAAUGUACUAGGCAAGAAGACAACCGCUAGACUAAACAUGGUAAUUCGUGACAUAGUCCUGCAAGGCAACAUGCCGAGCCCUGGCCCGCACCGGCCCCACAACCUCCUGGCGUGGUGCUGCGGGGGGUGCAACCUGGGCCGGGGGUGGGCCCGGAUCAGUGGCCACGUUGUAGGGGAAUGGUGACUGGGCUCGUGCCGUGGCCAAGUGCUCAGAGAGGGGUGCCGGGACUUUCCUCAGCCUACUAGCAUGCCACCGUGAUCCGUCGUCGAGCAGGAAUGUGGCGGGGCCAAGAAGACGACUGAUCUGUCUGGGUUGGGACCAGAACGAGGCCAACUUGUUGUGUCGCUGCGGCCGUCGAGCCCUGACCCAGUCUGAGACCUGAAGGGACGGUGGCCUCGCCCUGCACUUCUUGUCCACCCUUUCCCUUGUCUUCUGCUGCCGUGCAGCAACAGUCUCUCGGAUUCGGGCCAGGGAGGGCAUGGGAAAGUCACUAUUUGGUGCUCGGAGCCUGUGUAAUGGCAGUCCCAAUUCUCGUCCAAGCAUCAGAAACGCUGGU
ensembl:lncRNA